rnacentral:rRNA from 1 species
UAGGGAAUCUUCCACAAUGGACGAAAGUCUGAUGGAGCAACACCGCGUGAGUGAAGAAGGUUUUCGGAUCGUAAAGCUCUGUUGUUGGUGAAGAAGGAUAGAGGCAGUAACUGGUCUUUAUUUGACGGUAAUCAACCAGAAAGUCACGGCUAACUACGUGCCAG